UGUGAACGUUACCAAACUGUUGCCUCGGCGGGAUCUCUGCCCCGGGCGCGUCGCAGCCCCGGACCAAGGCGCCCGCCGGAGGACCAACCAAAACUCUUAUUGUAUACCCCCUCGCGGGUUUUUUACUAUCUGAGCCAUCUCGGCGCCCCUCGUGGGCGUUUCGAAAAUGAAUCAAAACUUUCAACAACGGAUCUCUUGGUUCUGGCAUCGAUGAAGAACGCAGCGAAAUGCGAUAAGUAAUGUGAAUUGCAGAAUUCAGUGAAUCAUCGAAUCUUUGAACGCACAUUGCGCCCGCCAGUAUUCUGGCGGGCAUGCCUGUCCGAGCGUCAUUUCAACCCUCGAACCCCUCCGGGGGGUCGGCGUUGGGGAUCGGCCCUUUACGGGGCCGGCCCCGAAAUACAGUGGCGGUCUCGCCGCAGCCUCUCCUGCGCAGUAGUUUGCACACUCGCAUCGGGAGCGCGGCGCGUCCACAGCCGUUAAACACCCCAAACUUCUGAAAUGUUGACCUCGGAUCAGGUAGGAAUACCCGCUGAACUUAAGCAU
rnacentral:rRNA from 1 species